GGUGGUACUUUCCCUGAGGAGUUGUCCCCAGACUACUUUAAGCCCCUUGGGAACUCUAAUGCCGGUCACACGGUAUUUAGUAUUAAUUAGCCAAUGUAAUCGUCUUGGAUUGAAAACCAUGAAGAAUCUUCCGAGUCAUUGUCUUCAGGAGAUAUUUGUACCUUGACUUACCUGAAGAACUCAGCUGGUUAAACAUAAUCACAGAUCUCAUCCCCUUUUCAUCAAGCAAGACAUCAUAUUGCAAGAAUAUCAACACCAAGUCUCAGAUUCAGAUAUAGGCACAGGGCUACCAGUUACCAUCUGCAGAAUACAAAUAAAGUGACUACAGAAGGAAAUCAUGACUUAAAGAGACCAUCAAUUAUCUAUUGCUAUAAGUGACCCAACAAUGUGGUGAGCUGAAACCUGAAGCAUUUAUU